AAAAAAAGGUUAAAAAAGUUUAGUCUACAUUUUUGUUGAUUUUAGUUGUGAAAAUGACCACCUCUUUAAAAAACUGUGACAUAUUUUUGGAAUGGUUAGAAGUAAAGGAUCAAAGUAUGUCAUAUGUUCUGGCAAAACUUAAAGAAUUUAUUGAGGAUCGAAUUGGAAGGAAAAUGACGGGCGAAGAACACAUAAAGGUUAAAAAUAUUUGCUACAAAUUGUCUUCUACGUGGAAAAAAUACUAUCGAAAGAGGGAUAAAGUAGAAAUGGUCUUAAAAGAUUGGUUUCUUAUGGAUACGUUUAAAUUUGAUUCGGAACCUGAUAAGUCUACAUCAAGAGGUCGACCACGCAUUAACUUUGAGGAAAGUUCAUGUAGAACAAAAAGGCGACGUGUA